rnacentral:rRNA from 1 species
GAUGAACGCUGGCGGCGUGCCUAAUACAUGCAAGUCGAGCGAACAGACGAGGAGCUUGCUCCUCCGACGUUAGCGGCGGACGGGUGAGUCACACGUGGAUAACCUACCUCUCAGACUGGGAUAACUUCGGGAAACCGGAGCUAAUACCGGAUAAUAUAUUGCACCGCAUUGUGCACUAGUGAAAGUCGGUAUUUCUGUCGCUUAUAGAUUGAUCCGGGCCGCAUUAGUUAGUGGGGUAGGUAACUGCUUAGCAACGCAACGAUGCGUAACCGACCUGAGAGGGUGAUCGGCCACACUGGAACUGAGGCAGGGUCGAGACUCCUACGGGAGGCAGCAGUAGGGAAUCUUCCGCGAUGGGGGAAAGGGUGACGGAGCAAAGCCGCGGGAAUGAUGAAGGAGUUCGGACCGUAAAACUAUGUAAGUAGUGAGGAACAAAUGUGUAAUUAACUAUGCACGUAUUGACGGUACCUAAUGAGAAAGCCACGGCUAACUACGUG